GGGCGCGUAGCUCAGUUGGUAGAGCAAUUGACUUUUAAUCAAUGGGUCGUGGGUUCGAAUCCCGCCGCGCUCACCA
rnacentral:tRNA from 1 species